CGCGGGGUGGAGCAGUGGUAGCUCGUCGGGCUCAUAACCCGAAGGUCAGAGGUUCGAAUCCUCUCCCCGCAACCA
rnacentral:tRNA from 3 species